rnacentral:rRNA from 1 species
CCUACGGGGGGCAGCAGUGAGGAAUAUUGGUCAAUGGGAGGAAUCCUGAACCAGCCAUGCCGCGUGCAGGACGACGGCUCUACGAGUUGUAAACUGCUUUUGUACCGGGGUAAAAUGCUCUACGAGUAGGGUUUUGAAAGUACGGUACGAAUAAGGAUCGGCUAACUCCGUGCCAGCAGCCGCGGUAAUACGGAGGAUCCGAGCGUUAUCCGGAUUUAUUGGGUGUAAAGGGUGCGUAGGUUGUUUUAUAAGUUAGCGGUGAAAUACCGAUGCUCAACAUCGGGGCUGCCGCUAAUACUGUAGGACUAGAGAUCGGAUGCAGCAGGCGGAAUGUGUAGUGUAGCGGUGAAAUGCAUAGAUAUUACACAGAACACCGAUUGCGAAGGCAGCUUGCUAGGCCGGAUCUGACACUGAUGCACGAAAGCGUGGGGAUCGAACAGGAUUAGAUACCCCAGUAGUC